CCUGAUGCAGCAACGCCGCGUGAGUGAUGAAGGCCUUCGGGUUGUAAAGCUCUGUCUUUGGGGACGAUAAUGACGGUACCCUCUGAGGAAGCCACGGCUAACUACGUGCCAGCAGCCGCGGUAAUA
rnacentral:rRNA from 1 species